rnacentral:tRNA from 1 species
GCGUCCGUAGCUCAGUUGGUUAGAGCACCACCUUGACAUGGUGGGGGUCGGUGGUUCGAGAUCCACUCCGGACGCACCA